rnacentral:rRNA from 1 species
UACGAAGGUGGCAAGCGUUACUCGGAAUUACUAGGCGUAAAGGGCAGGUAGGUGGUUUGAUAAGUCUGUUGUGAAAGCUCCUGGCUUAACUGGGAGAGGUCAACGGAAACUAUCAGGCUUGAGUAUGGGAGAGGGUACUGGAAUUCCCGGUGUAGCGGUGAAAUGCGCAGAGAUCGGGAGGAACACCUAUGGCGAAAGCAGGUACCUGGACCAUUACUGACACUCAGCUGCGAAAGCUAGGGGAGCAAACAGG